rnacentral:rRNA from 1 species
GACGAACGCUGGCGGCGUGCUUAACACAUGCAAGUCGAACGGAAAGGCACUGCUUUUGUGCGCUUCUCGAGUGGCGAACGGGUGCGUAACACGUGAGUAACCUGCCCUUGUCUUUGGGAUAACUUCACGAAACUGGGGCUAAUCCCGGACAGCAUCUCAUCCACCAUUGUGGGGGUUGGAAAGUCUCGGCGGGUGGGGAUGGACUCGCGGCUUAUGAGCUUGUUGGUGGGGGAGUGGCUUCCCAAGGAUUUGACGGGUAGGCGGCCUGAGAGGGUGACCGGCGUCAUGGGGACUGAGAUACGGCGCAGAGUCCUACGGGAGGCAGCAGUGGGAAAUAUUGUACAGUGGGACGGAGUCGGAGGCAGCGACGUUGCGGGUGGGAUGACGGCCUUCUGGGUGUGAACCGCAUUCGGUUGUGACGAAGCGUGAGUGACGGUACUGAGUGAAGAAGCACCGGCUAACUACGUG